rnacentral:rRNA from 1 species
UACGUAGGGUGCAAGCGUUGUCCGGAAUUAUUGGGCGUAAAGAGCUUGUAGGCGGUUUGUCGCGUCUGCUGUGAAAUUUCGGGGCUCAGCCCCGGACUUGCAGUGGGUACGGGCAGACUAGAGUGUGGUAGGGGAGACUGGAAUUCCUGGUGUAGCGGUGAAAUGCGCAGAUAUCAGGAGGAACACCGAUGGCGAAGGCAGGUCUCUGGGCCACUACUGACGCUGAGAAGCGAAAGCAUGGGGAGCGAACAGG